rnacentral:rRNA from 1 species
ACUCCUACGGGAGGCAGCAGUGGGGAAUUUUGGACAAUGGGCGCAAGCCUGAUCCAGCCAUGCCGCGUGCGGGAAGAAGGCCUUCGGGUUGUAAACCGCUUUUGUCAGGGAAGAAAUCCUUUGGGUUAAUACCUCGGAGGGAUGACGGUACCUGAAGAAUAAGCACCGGCUAACUACGUGCCAGCAGCCGCGGUAAU